rnacentral:rRNA from 1 species
AAGAGUUUGAUCAUGGCUCAGAUUGAACGCUGGCGGCAGGCCUAACACAUGCAAGUCGAACGGUAACAGGAAGCAGCUUGCUGCUUCGCUGACGAGUGGCGGACGGGUGAGUAAUGUCUGGGAAACUGCCUGAUGGAGGGGGAUAACUACUGGAAACGGUGGCUAAUACCGCAUAACGUCGCAAGACCAAAGAGGGGGACCUUCGGGCCUCUUGCCAUCAGAUGUGCCCAGAUGGGAUUAGCUUGUUGGUGAGGUAACGGCUCACCAAGGCGACGAUCCCUAGCUGGUCUGAGAGGAUGACCAGCCACACUGGAACUGAGACACGGUCCAGACUCCUACGGGAGGCAGCAGUGGGGAAUAUUGCACAAUGGGCGCAAGCCUGAUGCAGCCAUGCCGCGUGUAUGAAGAAGGCCUUCGGGUUGUAAAGUACUUUCAGCGGGGAGGAAGGUGUUGCGGUUAAUAACCGCAGCAAUUGACGUUACCCGCAGAAGAAGCACCGGCUAACUCCGUGCCAGCAGCCGCGGUAAUACGGAGGGUGCAAGCGUUAAUCGGAAUUACUGGGCGUAAAGCGCACGCAGGCGGUCUGUCAAGUCGGAUGUGAAAUCCCCGGGCUCAACCUGGGAACUGCAUUCGAAACUGGCAGGCUUGAGUCUUGUAGAGGGGGGUAGAAUUCCAGGUGUAGCGGUGAAAUGCGUAGAGAUCUGGAGGAAUACCGGUGGCGAAGGCGGCCCCCUGGACAAAGACUGACGCUCAGGUGCGAAAGCGUGGGGAGCAAACAGGAUUAGAUACCCUGGUAGUCCACGCCGUAAACGAUGUCUACUUGGAGGUUGUGCCCUUGAGGCGUGGCUUCCGGAGCUAACGCGUUAAGUAGACCGCCUGGGGAGUACGGCCGCAAGGUUAAAACUCAAAUGAAUUGACGGGGGCCCGCACAAGCGGUGGAGCAUGUGGUUUAAUUCGAUGCAACGCGAAGAACCUUACCUGGUCUUGACAUCCACAGAAGAAUCCAGAGAUGGAUUUGUGCCUUCGGGAACUGUGAGACA